UAUAAUCCAGCACCUGAGUCAAGGGCAGCCUGAGUGACAAAAGUCCAGGCCUCAAAACAAAUGCAAUGCCCUAGGUCAGUGGUUCUCAGCCUGUGGCUGACAGCUGCCCUUCCACCAGGGUCACAUAUCAAAUGCCUUGCAUAGCAGAUUUUUAUAUUGAUUCAUAACAAGCAAAAUUAUGGUUACGAAUCAGCAACAAAAACAAUUUUAUGGUGGGGUCACCGUAACAUGAGGAACUGUAUUAAAGGAUUGCAGCCUAGGAAGGGUGAGAGAAAGGAAGUCAGCAGAAGUGUUGAGCUUCUAGAAACCACAUGGGUUCUGGCUUGCUCUUCCCUGAAGGCUGUUUCGCCUUCUGAGCCUGAAUUAAUAUGAAUUAAUAUGGGUUUCCUGCCUGAAAACAAAAUGCUGAACUUGUCACUUUCCUUGUAUGUGGCUCAGACUCUGUCUCCUAUACAGAGAGUCAUGUGUAGCUGUCCUUAGACUUAAGGUGCUUUUUCAUUACUUCAUAAACAAUGUGGUGGGACACUUUGAAUUUCAAGUUGCCGUUUCUGUCACAAGGCUUCCUGGAGACUCACGAACAAGAAUAGGAUUCAUGACUUUCGACAGCACUAUUCAUUUCUACAAUU
rnacentral:lncRNA from 1 species